UACAGAGGGGGCAAGCGUUAUUCGGAAUUAUUGGGCGUAAAGGGCGCGUAGGCGGCCAUUCAAGUGACGGGUGAAAGCCCUCGGCUUAACCGAGGAACUGCCUGUCAGACUGGAUGGCUUGAGACCGGGAGAGGUGAGUGGAACUGCGAGUGUAGAGGUGAAAUUCGUAGAUAUUCGCAAGAACACCAGUGGCGAAGGCGGCUCACUGGCCCGGUACUGACGCUGAGGUGCGAAAGCGUGGGGAGCAAACAGG
rnacentral:rRNA from 1 species